rnacentral:rRNA from 1 species
GACGAACGCUGGCGGCGUGCCUAACACAUGCAAGUCGAGCGAGUGAAUCUCCUUCGGGAGUGAAGCUAGCGGCGGACGGGUGAGUAACACGUGGGCAACCUGCCUCAUAGAGGGGAAUAGCCUUUCGAAAGGAAGAUUAAUACCGCAUAAGAUUGUAGCUUCGCAUGAAGUAGCAAUUAAAGGAGCAAUCCGCUAUGAGAUGGGCCCGCGGCGCAUUAGCUAGUUGGUGAGGUAACGGCUCACCAAGGCGACGAUGCGUAGCCGACCUGAGAGGGUUAUCGGCCACAUUGGGACUGAGACACGGCCCAGACUCCUACGGGGGGCAGCAGUGGGGAAUAUUGCACAAUGGGGGAAACCCUGAUGCAGCAACGCCGCGUGAGUGAUGACGGCCUUCGGGUUGUAAAGCUCUGUCUUCAGGGACGAUAAUGACGGUACCUGAGGAGGAAGCCACGGCUAACUAUGUGCCAGCAGCCGCGGUAA